rnacentral:rRNA from 1 species
UACGUAGGUCCCGAGCGUUGUCCGGAUUUAUUGGGCGUUAAGCGAGCGCAGGUGGUUUAUUAAGUCUGGUGUAAAAGGCAGUGGCUCAACCAUUGUAUGCAUUGGAAACUGGUAGACUUGAGUGCAGGAGAGGAGAGUGGAAUUCCAUGUGUAGCGGUGAAAUGCGUAGAUAUAUGGAGGAACACCGGUGGCGAAAGCGGCUCUCUGGCCUGUAACUGACACUGAGGCUCGAAAGCGUGGGGAGCAAACAGG